rnacentral:rRNA from 1 species
ACGGAAGGCAGCAGUGGGGAAUAUUGCACAAUGGGGGAAACCCUGAUGCAGCGACGCCGCGUGAGUGAAGAAGUAUUUCGGUAUGUAAAGCUCUAUCAGCAGGGAAGAUGAUGACGGUACCUGACUAAGAAGCCCCGGCUAACUACGUGCCAGCAGCCGCGGUAAUACGUAGGGGGCAAGCGUUAUCCGGAUUUACUGGGUGUAAAGGGAGCGUAGGCGGCCAGACAAGUCAGAUGUGAAAGCCCGGGGCUCAACCCCGGGACUGCAUUUGAAACUGUAGGGCUAGAGUACUGGAGAGGCAAGCGGAAUUCCUAGUGUAGCGGUGAAAUGCGUAGAUAUUAGGAAGAACACCAGUGGCGAAGGCGGCUUGCUGGACAGAGACUGACGCUGAGGCUCGAAAGCGUGGGGAGCAAACAGGAUUAGAUACCCUGGUA